ensembl:lncRNA
CUACUCCUCCUCAGUGACAGUGCUGGCGUAUCACUAUGUGCUGUGCUUACUGCGUCUUCUGCAAACUGGAGUGGUUUGGAACUGAACCCACACUCUCUCUGAAGUGGGCCUGCAGAUAUGCAGAAAGAAGCCGAGAUUAAAGACCAUGUCGCUGGAUAGCUGAUUACGAGAGGUCACCAGUAUGCUCACUCCUCAGUUGACCGGAAUAUCCCAGUCCUUAAGCACUCAGGCCAAGAGGGCGCUAUAUGGAGCCUUUGUAAAUUGCAUUUAAGUUGUGGCUGGAACCAUGGUGAUGUUGAUGAAUAAUGAAAGUGCCGCUUUUGCUAGCAUGCCUUGAAGAAAGAAAACUUGUCUUAAAGUUCAUGAUGUCUGAACUUGGUAAAUCUUCUUGAAAGUGACUGCCAUUGGGGUCUUGCUUAGUUGUGACGGGAUUUAACUACAAUAAAAGUGGUUUGGACUUAGAGCCAGCCUCGGGUUUGUAUUUGCCCCUCACCCCCAACACACAGUUAUGUGACUGUGGAUAUUUAAUUAACCUCUGUAUCCACUAAUUUCUUCAUCUGUAAAAAUCCUGGGAUGUGGAGAAGAUUAAGUGAAGCAACAGGAGAGAGCGUUUUCCACAAUUCUAGGCUUACUGCAGAGUCUUAACAAUGUCUAUAUAAAAAUAAAAACUCCACC